CAGAUCGUUUACCGUGAAAAAAUUAGAGUGUUCAAAGCAGGCAGAUCCAAUUUUCUGCCACCGAAUACAUUAGCAUGGGAUAAUGGAAUAGGACCCUGUCCUCCUAUUUUCAGUUGGUUUUGGCAGCGCGAGGACUAGGGUAAUGAUUAAUAGGGAUAGUUGGGGGCAUUAAUAUUUAAUUGUCAGAGGUGAAAUUCUUGGAUUUAUGAAAGAUUAACUUCUGCGAAAGCAUCUGCCAAGGAUGUUUUCAUUAAUCAAGAACGAAAGUUAGGGGAUCGAAGACGAUCAGAUACCGUCGUAGUCUUAACCAUAAACGAUGCCGACCAGCGAUUAGGAGACGUUGAAUACAAAACACCACCAUCGGUUGCGGUCAUCCUUGGCGUCUCGGUUUCGGCCGGGGCGCGGGGAUGGCUUAGCCCGGUGGCACCGGUGAAUGAC
rnacentral:rRNA from 1 species